UUCAAAACCUAUAUCACUGCUGCAGCCAUCUUCCUAGAAACCUACUGCCUGCUUGCUUUUAAUUCAGCAAAUGGAUAGGAGUUAUGCAAAUUUUAUAUGCCUGAACCUCAUCUGAUGUUAGUUUCAGGAAUCAGGGCUACCUAUCAGUUGCACCCUUCACCGAUGACAAGAUGACAACAAUAAUAAGGACAAGAACACCUGCAGGUCAUGUACUCCAAGAGAAGUGUUGGAUUAAAAAAGGUACAGACUCAUCAACCAAAGACAGAAUGCUGGCUACCAUUUGGACCUCACAGGAUAUUUUUGGAAAGAAAUCCUGGAACUGUGAAUGGAAAAAGGACAAUCUGAGAGCAAAGCCCAUCAUUGAAAAGCAAAUCCACAGGCACGUUUGAUUCUGAAAUCCCAUCUCAG